AGAGGUGUCUUGGAGACUGAAAUCCUCUUUCCAUGGGAUAGGUACAGCACAGAGCUUCAUCCAUACUACUCUGUAAAUGUGCCUCAACCCUGACCAUGAAGGACCAGCUGUACGGGUGAGAGGGGAGUUCAUUCCCUGUGAUCCUUUCAGCCCUGAAAUUG
rnacentral:sRNA from 1 species